GGUGGUCUAAACCCGGAGGCGAAAUGAAAGUGAGCCCCUGAGGGGCAGGCCGAUCCCCUGUCAUGGGCGGGGCGCUUUCGGGGGCCCGCGUGAGUGAAUUUCCGUGGGCUGCCGGGGCGUUUCCGUCUGUGGCGGCCCGGCGGUCGUGGCACGGCGUUUCGGCGCGGUGCGCGGCAGCCGGGAGUCGGGGCGCAGGCCGAGGACUUGCCGUUGUGCGGCUCGGGCAACGGGGGGUGGUGGCCUCGCGCCGCCGCCUCCUUAUCCCGAUGUCCGCCGGCAAGUACCUGAGAGCGCAGCCGUUGGGACCCGAAAGAUGGUGAACUAUGCCUGGCGAGGACGAAGCCAGAGGAAACUCUGGUGGAGGUCCGAAGCAGUUCUGACGUGCAAAUCGAUUGUCAGAGCUGGGUAUAGGGGCGAAAGACUAAUCGAACCAUCUAGUAGCUGGUUCCCUCCGAAGUUUCCCUCAGGAUAGCUGGCGUUGGAUGGAAUGAGUUUCAUCCGGUAAAGCGAAUGAUUAGAGGCCUUGGUGGUGCAAUGCCGUCAACCUAUUCUCAAACUUUAAAUGGGUGAGACGUGGAGCUUGCUUGAAACGUGAAGCUCUAUGAUGCAAAGAAAGAAUCAGAAUGCCUAGUGGGCCACU
rnacentral:rRNA from 1 species